UACGGAGGGUGCGAGCGUUGUUCGGAAUCACUGGGCGUAAAGCGCGUGUAGGCGGCUUCUUAAGUCCGAUGUGAAAGCCCGGGGCUCACCCCCGGAAGUGCAUUGGAUACUGGGAAGCUGGAGUACCGGAGAGGAGGGUGGAAUUCCUGGUGUAGCAGUGAAAUGCGUAGAGAUCGGGAGGAACAUCUGUGGCGAAGGCGACUGCCUGGACCAGCACUGACACUGAGGCACGAAAGCGUGGGGAGCAAACAGG
rnacentral:rRNA from 1 species